rnacentral:rRNA from 1 species
AUUGAACGCUGGCGGCAGGCCUAACACAUGCAAGUCGAACGGUAACAGGAAGCAGCUUGCUGCUUCGCUGAUGAGUGGCGGACGGGUGAGUAAUGUCUGGGAAACUGCCUGAUGGAGGGGGAUAACUACUGGAAACGGUAGCUAAUACCGCAUAACGUCGCAAGACCAAAGAGGGGGACCUUCGGGCCUCUUGCCAUCGGAUGUGCCCAGAUGGGAUUAGCUAGUAGGUGGGGUAACGGCUCACCUAGGCGACGAUCCCUAGCUGGUCUGAGAGGAUGACCAGCCACACUGGAACUGAGACACGGUCCAGACUCCUACGGGAGGCAGCAGUGGGGAAUAUUGCACAAUGGGCGCAAGCCUGAUGCAGCCAUGCCGCGUGUAUGAAGAAGGCCUUCGGGUUGUAAAGUACUUUCAGCGGGGAGGAAGGCGAUAAGGUUAAUAACCUUGUCGAUUGACGUUACCCGCAGAAGAAGCACCGGCUAACUCCGUGCCAGCCGCCGCUGUAA